CCUACGGGAGGCAGCAGUGGGGGAUAUUGCACAAUGGGGGAAACCCUGAUGCAGCGACGCCGCGUGGGUGAAGAAGCGCCUCGGCGCGUAAAGCCCUGUCAGCAGGGAAGAAAAUGACGGUACCUGAAGAAGAAGCACCGGCUAACGACGUGCCAGCAGCCGCGGUAAUACGUAGGGGGCAAGCUUUAUCCGGAUUUACUGGGGGUAAAGGGGGGGCAGGCGGCGAUGCAAGCCAGCAGUGAAAGCCCGGGGCCAAACCCCGGAACUGCUCUUGGUACUGGGUGGCGAGAGUGCAGGAGGGGCAGGCGGAAUUCCUGGUGUAGCGGUGAAAUGCGUAGAUAUCAGGAGGAACCCCGGUGGCGAAGGCGGCCUGCUGGACUGCAACUGACGUUGAGGCCCGAAAGCGUGGGGAGCAAACAGGAUUAGAUACCCGUGUAGUC
rnacentral:rRNA from 1 species